rnacentral:rRNA from 1 species
UUUGAGAAUUUGAUCCUGGUUCAGGAUGAACGCUGGCGGUGUGGAUAAGGCAUGCAAGUCGAGCGGUUCGAUUUCGUCGCAAGACGAAAUCGAAUAGCGGCGAACGAGUUAGUAACACGUAGGAACUUACCCCAAAGACGGGAAUAACCCUCCGAAAGGAGGACUAAUACCCGAUGGCAUGAAGGUUAAAAUCUUCAUUAAAGUCGCAAGACGCUUUGGGAGAGGCCUGCGGGCUAUCAGCUAGUUGGUAGGGUAAUGGCCUACCAAGGCGAUGACGGCUAGGGGGCGCGAGAGCGUGUUCCCCAACGUAAGGGACUGAGACACGGCCCUAACUCCUACGGGAGGCAGCAGUCGAGAAUAUUUCGCAAUGGGCGAAAGCCUGACGAAGCGACACCGCGUGAAGGAAGAAGGCCCUCGGGUCGUAAACUUCUUUUGACAGAGAACAAGCCGCAAGGUUGAGCGUAUCUGUAGAAUAAGGCGCUGCUAACUUCGUGCCAGCAGCAGCGGUAAUACGAAGGCGCCAAGCGUUAUCCGGAUUUAUUGGGCGUAAAGAGUUCAAAGGGGNCGUUAAGCACUCCGCCUGGGAAGUACGAGCGCAAGCUUAAAACUCAAAGGAAUAGACGGGGACUCGCACAAGCGGUGGAGCAUGUGGUUCAAUUCGACAAUAACCGAAAAACCUUACCUGGCCUUGACACUCUAACAAUAACCUCGCGAAAGCAAGGUGUGUUCACAAGACGGUUAGAGCAGGUACUGCAUGGUUGUCGUCAGCUCGUGCCUUGAGGUGUUCCGUUAAGUCGGGAAACGAGCGCAACCCCUGUUGCCAGUUACAAGUGUCUGGCGAUACUGCCCCGAGAGACGGGGAGGAAGGAGGGGACAACGUCAAAUCAGCAUGGUCCUUUGAUGGCCAGGGCUACACACGUGCUACAAUGGGAAAUACAAAGGGUUGCCAAGCCGUAAGGCGGAGCUAAUCCCAUCAAAAUUUCCCCCAGUUCAGAUUGAGGGCUGCAACUUGCCCUCAUGAAGAUGGAAUCGCUAGUAAUCGCGGAUCAGCAUGCCGCGGUGAAUACGUUCUCGAGUCUUGUACUCACCGCCCGUCAUACCAAGGGAGCCGGGAAUGCCUUAAUUCUGACUUUAUGUCGGACCACGGUAAGCUCGGUAACAAGGGUGAAGUCGUAACAAGGCAUCGCUAGCGGAAGCUGGUGAUGGAUCAUCUCCUU